AUCGAACGCUGGCGGCAGGCCUAACACAUGCAAGUCGAACGAGUGGCGGACGGGUGAGUAAUGUCUGGGAAACUGCCUGAUGGAGGGGGAUAACUACUGGAAACGGUAGCUAAUACCGCAUACCAUCGGAUGUGCCCAGAUGGGAUUAGCGAGUAGGUGGGGUAAAGGCUCACCUAGGCGACGAUCCCUAGCUGGUCUGAGAGGAUGACCGGCCGCACUGGAACUGAGACACGGUCCAGGCUCCUACGGGAGGCAGCAGUAGGGAAUAUUGCGCAAUGGGCGCAAGCCUGAGACAGCCAUGCCGCGUGUAUGAAGAAGGCCUUCGGUUUGUAAAGUUCUGUCAGCGGAGAGGCGUUACCCGCAGAAGAAGCACCGGCUAACUCCGUGCCAGCCGCCGCGGUAAUAC
rnacentral:rRNA from 1 species